GAAGCUGGAAUCGCUAGUAAUCGCAGAUCAGAAUGCUGCGGUGAAUACGUUCCCGGGUCUUGUACACACCGCCCGUCACACCAUGGGAGUUGGAAAUGCCCGAAGCCAGUGACCCAACCGUAAGGAGGGAGCUGUCGAAGGUGGAGCCGAUGACUGGGGUGAAGUCGUAACAAGGUAAC
rnacentral:rRNA from 1 species